UACAUAACACGAGAAGACCCUAUGGAGCUUCAAACACUUAAGCUAACUUUAAAAUAUUUAAAUUUACCCCUUCGGGCAUAAAUAAGAAACUAAUAAAUCCCUAGCUUAACUUGUUUUUGGUUGGGGCGACCAAGGGGAAAAACAAAACCCCCUUACCGAAUGUGUGAGAUAUCACUUAAAAAUUAGAGUCACAUCUCUAAUUAAUAGAAAAUCUAACGAACAAUGACCCAGGACUCUUCAUCCUGAUCAAUGAACCAAGUUACCCUAGGAAUAACAGCGCAAUCAC
rnacentral:rRNA from 1 species